rnacentral:rRNA from 1 species
CCUACGGGAGGCAGCAGUAGGGAAUCUUCCGCAAUGGGCGAAAGCCUGACGGAGCAACGCCGCGUGAGUGAUGAAGGUCUUCGGAUCGUAAAACUCUGUUAUUAGGGAAGAACAAAUGUGUAAGUAACUAUGCACGUCUUGACGGUACCUAAUCAGAAAGCCACGGCUAGCUACGUGCCAGCAGCCGCGGUAAUACGUAGGUGGCAAGCGUUAUCCGGAAUUAUUGGGCGUAAAGCGCGCGUAGGCGGUUUUUUAAGUCUGAUGUGAAAGCCCACGGCUCAACCGUGGAGGGUCAUUGGAAACUGGAAAACUUGAGUGCAGAAGAGGAAAGUGGAAUUCCAUGUGUAGCGGUGAAAUGCGCAGAGAUAUGGAGGAACACCAGUGGCGAAGGCGACUUUCUGGUCUGUAACUGACGCUGAUGUGCGAAAGCGUGGGGAUCAAACAGGAUUAGAUACCCUGGUAGUCCACGCCGUAAACGAUGAGUGCUAAGUGUUAGGGGGUUUCCGCCCCUUAGUGCUGCAGCUAACGCAUUAAGCACUCCGCCUGGGGAGUACGACCGCAAGGUUGAAACUCAAAGGAAUUGACGG